GACGUAGGGCGCGAGCGUUGUCCGGAUUUAUUGGGCGUAAAGAGCUCGUAGGCGGCUUGUCGCGUCGUCCGUGAAAACUUGGGGCUCAACCCCAAGCUUGCGGUCGAUACGGGCAGGCUAGAGUUCGGUAGGGGAGACUGGAAUUCCUGGUGUAGCGGUGGAAUGCGCAGAUAUCAGGAGGAACACCGGUGGCGAAGGCGGGAUCCUGGGCCAGUACUGACGCUGAGGAGCGAAAGCGUGGGGAGCGAACAGG
rnacentral:rRNA from 1 species